rnacentral:rRNA from 1 species
UAGUGAGUUUGAUCCUGGCUCAGGACGAACGCUGGCGCGUGCUAACGACGAUGCAAGUCGCACGGUCGGGGCAACUCGGCAGUGGCGGACGGGUGAGGAACACGUAGGAACGUGUCCAGAGGUGGGGAAUAACGCCGGGAAACUGGCGCUAAUACCGCAUAUGUCCUGAGGGACAAAGCCGAAAGGCGCCUUUGGAGCGGCCUGCGUCCGAUUAGCUUGUUGGUGGGGGUAAUGGCCUACCAAGGCUUCGAUCGGUAGCUGGUCUGAGAGGACGACCA